rnacentral:lncRNA from 10 species
CUGAGGAGGGGGCUAGGGGUCUCCAAAGUUUAUUUUCUGUACACAAACAGUAAAAACUUGAAGCAUAUACACCUCCAACAUGUAUAUGCUGUUAAACUAUGAUAACUGCCACUUUUACAGAUCAAAAACAAUUAUCAGCAGUUUAUUGUGGUUCAACCUUUUAUUUAUAAAUUAAUGACCUACAUGUACUAAUGAACUAAUAUUGAUGUAUAUUUGAUGUAUAUAUAUAAAAUACAUCCAAAGUGAGAAACUAAAUAAGGCUGAGCCUCAAAAUGAAUAUAAAUCAAAGGCCUAAUCUUUUCUUCCCACCCCCACCCAGCCAUCCUGUGUGCCCUCUUCCCCUUGGAGGCCACUGCCCUAAGUGAGGAUCAGCAUCGACUCCACCACAGCCCACUUUAGUGGUGACAACUUUUAAUCCACGGAAGCAGUUUUUCAAAGUGAAAACUGUUUCAAAUCACGAAGCUUACCACUUAGACAAUUCAGACAAGGUAAUGCUCAUUUAGACUGACACAGGUAUGAAAAUUCCAAUCCCUUCUUUUCACUAUCAUUGUAUCUGACACACACAUCACCUUCCUAGGCACUAUGACACUAUCCUGGGAGAAGCAAAUGUGUACAAAGAAGCACAAUCCUGCUCUCUCCCCACACUUCACAUAAACCAGUAUAGUCCCCCUGUAGUCAAGGCUUCAGAUGUCAAUUUUCUGUUGGAGACAGCGUCUUGCUACGUUACUCAGGCUGAAGUGCAGUGGCCAUUCACAGAAAUGAUCAUAGCAUACUGUAGCCUUGAACUUCUGGCUUCAAGCGAUCCUGCUGCCUCUAAGCCUCCCAAGCAGCUGGGACUAAAGGUGCAUAUCACCAUGCCCAGCUUGAUGUGAAUUUUUAAGCAAUAAUGCCUCAUUAGGCCGGGUGCAGUGGCUCACGCCUGUAAUCCUAGCACUUUGGGAGGCUGAGGCAGGUGGAUUACGAAGUCAGGAGUUUGAGUCCAGCCUGGCCAAUAUGGUGAAACCCGGUCUCUAUUGAAAAUAAAAAAAAACUAGCUGGGUGUGGUAGCACGCGCCUGUAGUCUCAGCUACUCGAGAGGCUGAGGCGGAAUAAUUGCUUGAACCCUGGAGGCGGAGGUAGCAGUGAGCCAAGAUUGUGCCACUGCACUCCAGCCUGGACGACAGAGCAAGACUCUGUCUCAAAAAAAUAAAUAAAUAAAAUAAUGCCUCAUUAAUUUGGAGUAAGGUUGGGGGGCAUAGAAGACAGAAUAAAUGCAAAAACUAAGUCACAGAGUGUUUCAAGCUUAGGCUCUUUAACUUUCAAGCUUAGACUAUUUAUCGCUCAUUUUAAUUAUCUUCUUUACUGCACAGGUCAAGAUGUCAAGAAUACUCUAUAUUGCCAGGUGCCAGGGCUCAUGCCUGUAAUCCCAGCACUUUGGGAGGCUGAGGUGGGUGGAUUACCUGAGGUCAGGAGUUCGAGACCAGCCUGCCCAUCAUGGCAAAACCCCAUCUCCACUAAAAAUACAAAACUUAGAUGGGCAUGGUGGUGCAUGCCUGUAGUCCCAGCUACUGGGGAGGCUGAGGCAGGAGAAUUGCUUGAUACCUAUAAUCCCAGCACUUUGGGAGGCCAAGGCAGAAGGACUGCUUGAGGCCAGGAGGACUGCUUGAGGCCAGCCUGGGCAACAUAGCAAGAAGCCAUCAUUACAAAAUAAAAAUGUUUUAAAUUAGCUGGGAAUGGUGGCAUGCACCUAUAGUCCCAGGUACUAGUAAGGCUGAAGCAGGAAGAUGGCUUGACCCCAGAAGUUCGAGGCUGCACUGAGCUUUGAUCAGGCCGCUGCACUCCAGCCUGGGUGACAGAGCAAGAUCCUGUCAAUAAAUAAAUAAAUAAAUAAAUAAAUAAAUAAAAUAUAUAAAUACUUAAAUAAUCUUUUUAAGAGCAGUACUAUUCUGUCUCCAGCAAUGUCAAACUAUGAGAGUCAAAAAUAUUUUAAGGUCUGCUGUGUGCUUUCCUCAGAGGGAAGGAAACUAGGGCAUCCCACUCCUCCCUCCCAGCAAAGGAGACCAACAGACAAAAAAUACAGAAUGCUUCUAGGAUUUUUUUUUUUAAGGAAUAAUCUAAAUAUAAGAAACUAUUUCCUUAAAAAUCCUGACACUGGAGUUCUGCUACCAAAGACACAGUCAAAGAUCUAAAUAGCCAGAGUCAAAAAAAAAAAAAAAAAAAAACCCA